rnacentral:lncRNA from 1 species
AUUCCAGGUGCAUUGGUAGGCGUCACUGGAGAAUUUGAAAAUCAUAAACACACCCUGAAGAGGGCAAGCUCCUCCCCCACAGACAGUCUUGGCUGUCUACCUACCUACCCAGAAGGGAGGGGAAGAUUAGUAUUUGUUACAGAAGAAUCUCCAGGUGGCACUAUCUGUGACCCACCUCACAUCCUGCUACCUACAUGGGAUAGCAGAGUUGGCGCCCUGCCCUGGACCCCAUUGGCCACCUCUGAGUUUACCUGCCAUUGUGGUGGCUGUUUCCUCAACUUGCCAGCAGCUGCCCUCUCCAGCAUCCCUGGCUGCCCCGCAGAAGGUUCUCUCGGGACCAUCGGAGCUCACUUAGCCUCUGGGAAAAGCGGCCCAGGAGUGCUGGGGAUUAUACCAAGGUCAAGUCUUAACCAACAAGAAAGAGAACUUGGUGAGUCAAUAUCCCAGCUCUUCACUGCCCCCCCACCCCUCAGGUGCCACUUUGAAGUAUGUCCUACAAGGUUCCUUAGCAGCUUUCCAUGGAAUCGAGCCCUGACUGCCCCCAGAAUAGUAACCAACUCAAGAACAUUCUCUAUAUUGGCUUGCCCCGUCCCUCGUUCCUCUUCCCUCCUCCUUCACUCUUACUUCUUGGAACCACUUUCCAGAUAAACUACCUGAACCCAAAAGUUUGUCUCAAAUUCAUUUGACCUGGGAACCAAACAGAGGAACCACCACAGAGUCAUCUGUCUAUCACGUGUAUACCCUGACCCUUACCCUGCCGGCAUUGGGUGCAGUGGCAACAUUGGGCCUGACCCUGGAGCGGACCAAGGGCCACGUGGUACAGCUGGCAUGAGGCUUAGGACCCAGAAGGAGUAGAUCCUCUGUGGGGGAUUGAGCUGUGAGGGAUGCAGGCACCUCACCCUCUUACAACAUGACUGAUGAGGUAGUUCCAUUGUCUAAAAAUGCCCAGAGCUCCCUGUUAUCCAAGAGAACCUCCUCUUUCCCACCAACCACAAGGCAAACGGGACACUAUCCAAUGUCUUUUCUCCUUUGUAGUCCCUUUAACCCAGCAGGGAAGAAAAAAGCAGCAGAAAGCAGUGCUGGGAGUCAAGCUAAAAACACAUGCAGUGUCACCAUGCGUCACCCACAGUGAUGUGACUGUAAGGCCAGUGGCGACAGCUUCUAGAAGCAAGUGUGCACACAGCACUGCGCAUCAUGUCCAGAGCAACAUGGGUCACUGAGUCCCGAGAAAGCAAGUGCCGGACAGCCAAUGGGCCACAGAGAGAACGUAAAAGCAUCCGACGGAGCGCCAGUCAGUGUGUUUCACGUGUCACCUCUUAUACAGUCCAGGCUGCUCUCUUCCCCUUGGAGUCCACACUCUCUCCCAUCACGGAACUCGGCACAGGAUGUUGGUUGCAUUUGUCUGUCUCCUGCCAGCCUGUACAUUGCCUGACAGUUGGUUUGGUCCCAUUUAUCUGAGUGCUCUCAGAGCCUGGCACAUGGGAGAUAUUGAAUAAAUGCUUUUUAAAUUGUGUUGAAAGGAAUUAA